rnacentral:lncRNA from 1 species
CUGAAGUCAGUAUUGUAAUGGUGAAUCGAGAUUUUUAAUGAAGUGGGUUUGAAUACUCUUGACUAUUUUAUAAAAUCGAGUUACGUCUGUGAUUGAAGGAUUAAAAGGGCGUCUAUAGGAUUGAGUAUGCGGAGUGAAUGAAAUUUAUUGGGUUAAUCUAACAAGACAGUCAGUGGAUACAAGAUCGUAAGUACAAAGCGGUAUUGAAGAUUAACAGUUUGGGUUGUUCGGGGUUCUUUGUAACGUCUAGAGACCUACCGGCUGGG